CCCUCCCUAAAAUUCUUCUAAGCAUACACUGAACCAUAAGAUAGAGCCAUUAAUAGCACAGCAGCUUGUUCUUCUUCUCCUAGCUUCCUUCNNNNNNNNNNNNCUCUGCUUCUCCACAGUUGAUCUCUGCAUCAAUACCUCUCUACCUAGAGCCAACAACCUCUGCUUUAACCCAUCUCCUAAUCUAUUACUGUUAUUGCUUGAACUACGAUGAUUGUUCCCUUUCCUUGCUUUCUUCUCAUUUGCUGCUCUGUUCAAACCCAAAUUGUCCCUUUUCUUCUUCCUGCUUCUAAUUCCACAUGCGUUGCACAGUGACUUAGGGCCAGCUGGGCCACCUCUCCAGAGUGGAGUCUUUGAUGUUCCGCAAUCGGCGCAGGUCUUCUUCUGCUGAUGUUCUCCUCCUUCGGAGGAUUUGCUACUCAUAUCCUCAGGCUCUGAUCCUUUUUCGCUUGGAUCCAGCAUUUCAAGCAAAAACACUUGAGAU
rnacentral:misc_RNA from 1 species